UACGGAGGGGGCAAGCGUUGUUCGGAUUUACUGGGCGUAAAGGGCGCGUAGGCGGCCUGGCAAGUUACUUGUGAAAUCUUGAGGCUUAACCUCAAGCGGCCAAGUAAUACUGCGAGGCUAGAGUGCAGAAGGGGCAAUCGGAAUUCUUGGUGUAGCGGUGAAAUGCGUAGAUAUCAAGAGGAACACCGGAGGCGAAGGCGGAUUGCUGGGCUGACACUGACGCUGAGGCGCGAAAGCUAGGGGAGCAAACAGG
rnacentral:rRNA from 1 species